CAUACAGGACACAACAAUGCUCUGUCUCUCUCAAACACAAACGCACACACACACACAAAAUCUCUCACUCACUUUCACACGGACGCUCACACACAAAUGUCUCUCGGCAUGAUGAAAAUAGACGUGGGUGAGUCACCGGCUUGACACCAGGUGCUAUUUAACAAGUCACAUCCAUUUUGUUAAUGAUUUUGAUUGUCACGGUGUUGUUGUGUUGCAUUGUUGCGGCGGCAAAAACACGUCACCUGUUGUGCCAGGCAAUUUACAGCCAAACCCCAAAUGUUUUAGUGAUGCAAAAUACUGAAGCAUUCCAAGAAAAGAACAGCGUUCCUUACUGUGGAACAUUAGAGAGGCCCGGUUAAGUUUGCUAAGAUCCAUCAGAGGAGUGUUUGAUGAAAUGUCAAGAAAUGUCACAGUUUCCUGGAGAAGUUUCUAGAUUCAAGAUGUGACGUCACAAUUAAAAGCAAAUAUGUUGCCAAGGAGAGAGGUUUGUCAUUUAAUUAAGUGGAGGUUUGCAAAUGGAAAGGAAAUUGCAGGCGGCCAUCUUGGUAGGAGACACUAAGAGCAAACAGAUGGCACCUCAAUCACCUCUGAGAGCCCAAGCUUUAAGACGGAAAUGUCGCAGUGAUUGUCCUACUUCUCUGACCUUACCACACACUCCGGGUGAAAAACAAAAGCCCAAACAUAGGUCACCUCAUAUUAAGGUUUAUAGGCGUCAUGCAUAGCUGACUGGGCCUCAGUGAAGCACAUGAUGGAGGGCCUGAGGUGUGCUGCUAGCGCUGGCUAACAAGUUGUGGCAGCAAAUCUGGGACUUAACUUAGUGAAUCCAGGAGACAUAAAAGGGAAAUUAAAGUCACCGGUUGGGAGGUGCGCCGGACUUGUUUGGAAGACAUCGGCCAAAAGACGAGUUCAUCUUCAAAGGGCUGCCUUCCCAAAAAAUGGCAAACUUUGUUUAUCCAGGCAUGGCUUCUUAAGAUUUCUUUUCCUCAUGACUGACAUGCCUACCCAACUUCAUAUUGUGCAAUUGGCUUCACGGGCUGAACUUUCAAAACAUUUCUGAAGACGUUACCAAGAGCCACCAAACACUACAAAGGCCGCUUUGAUCCAAACUGGAACACUUCUUUGGUCUUAUUGUUGAGCCUGGUUUGAAUCAAGAAAGACAUUUUACAAGAAUAUUCCAAGUUUUCAAAAUGUCUGUAUGUAUGUUCAACUAACGACAGAAUCAAACAUCAUUGGCACACAAAGGACUUCAUAGGGGGGAAAAAAAAACAAAGUACAAGUGCACACUGGCACAAAGCCAUGCACGCCCACUUUGGAACUUCCGUUACAAAUGCUGAGCAAAUCUCAUGACUCGCCUUGAGCAAAAUAUUUCAGUCCUGAAGCAACGACUGUAAAGAUAAACCUGUCAUCAUAAGGCAAGGUCAGGUUAUUGUAGCCAGGACUGCAAAAUAUUUGAUGCUCUCACUUUAACCUUGGAAAAUGUAAUUUUUUUUAAUCAAGCAGAUGAGCUCGUGAAUGAUCAUGAAAACGUACAAGGGCGUGAAAAUUGCCCUCCUUACACCUCAAGCCCUACGGCUGUUGCCAUGGUAAGGUUACUAACUACCAUGGCCUGUGAAUUUGGCCCAGUUUACAACCUUAUUUUUAACCUGAUUUUAGAUGGAGAAGUCACGUUAGGAAAUAUUACGAGACACGCUUAAAACAUAUCCAAAUGAGAUAUUUCAUGUGCCCAGCCUCUAUGUGGCAUUGUAACAUUGCCACAAAAAAAGAAGCUGAAACCUUGGAGAUGAAGAGGAUCCAUAAAACUGAGGGAGGGAACUGCUUAACCCAUCCAAGGCACACCAAAACCAAAUGAAGAACUAUUAAGAUGU